AGGCUGUGCUUGUGGACAUCUUCUCAGUAACUCUUUAUAUCUUUCCCAUGCUUCAUAAAGUGAUUCUCCUUUCUGCUGCACAAAAGAUGUUAUUUCUCCUCUCAGCUU